rnacentral:rRNA from 1 species
CAACGCGAAGAACCUUACCUGGCCUUGACAUACUAAGAACUUUCCAGAGAUGGAUUGGUGCCUUCGGGAACUUAGAUACAGGUGCUGCAUGGCUGUCGUCAGCUCGUGUCGUGAGAUGUUGGGUUAAGUCCCGCAACGAGCGCAACCCUUUUCCUUAUUUGCCAGCGGGUAAUGCCGGGAACCUUAAGGAUACUGCCAGUGACAAACUGGAGGAAGGCGGGGACGACGUCAAGUCAUCAUGGCCCUUACGGCCAGGGCUACACACGUGCUACAAUGGUCGGUACAAAGGGUUGCUACCUCGCGAGAGGAUGCUAAUCUCAAAAAGCCGAUCGUAGUCCGGAUCGCAGUCUGCAACUCGACUGCGUGAAGUUGGAAUCGCUAGUAAUCGCGGAUCAGAAUGCCGCGGUGAAUACGUUCCCGGGCCUUGUACACACCGCCCGUCACACCAUGGGAGUUUGUUGCACCAGAAGUAGGUAGUCUAACCGCAAGG